CCCUUAGAUGUUCUGAACCGCACGCGUGUUACACUGAUGCAUUCAACGAGCUUUACCUUGGCCGAGAGGCCUGGGAAAUCUUUUUAGCAUGCAUCGUGAUAGGGAUUGAUUAUUGCAAUUAUUAAUCAUGAACGAGGAAUUCCUAGUAAACGCAUUUCAUCAAAAUGCAUUGAUUACGUCCCUGCCCUUUGUACACACCGCCCGUCGCACCUACCGAUUUCGAGUGAUCCGGUGAAUCAUUCGGACCGCGUGGGCUUGACCUAACGUGGAAAGUCUAGUAAACCAUAUCACUUAGAGGAAGGAGAAGUCGUAACA
rnacentral:rRNA from 1 species